UGGGGAAUUUUGGACAAUGGGCGCAAGCCUGAUCCAACAAUGCCGCGUGCAGGAUGAAGGCCUUCGGGUUGUAAACUGCUUUUGUACGGAACGAAACGGUCUUUUCUAAUACAGAAGGCUAAUGACGGUACCGUAAGAAUAAGCACCGGCUAACUACGUGCCAGCAGCCGCGGUAAUACGUAGGGUGCAAGCGUUAAUCGGAAUUACUGGGCGUAAAGCGUGCGCAGGCGGUUUUGUAAGUCUGAUGUGAAAUCCCCGGGCUCAACCUGGGAACUGCAUUUGUGACUGCAUAGCUGGAGUGCGGCAGAGGGGGAUGGAAUUCCGCGUGUAGCAGUGAAAUGCGUAGAUAUGUGGAGGAACACCGAUGGCGAAGGCAGCCCCCUGGGUCAAGAUUGACGCUCAUGCACGAAAGCGUGGGGAGCAAACA
rnacentral:rRNA from 1 species